rnacentral:lncRNA from 1 species
UCUCCCCUCGCCCCACCCCCACAUACCCUGGGCGCCCCCUCUGGAUGGGGAGCCCCUGCUGCUCAGGCCAACUUCCUGCCCGGCCCACGGUGGGAGGGCGCUCCCCUUCUGUUCUCCACGUUUAGGGUGUCUUCGCACCGACUCCCGCGGCCCGGGCCCACCUCACGAGGGGCCUUGCACCCACGCUCGGCGGGCAGGAGUCAGCCCCGAGAGACCAGGCGGGCCUUAGCGAGGGCGCAGCGCGGACGGGCUGUGGUUCCUCCUGCAGGCUGUGCUGACCCUCCAGCGCAGUGCAGAGCCCUGGCCGCGCUGCGCCCCUUAGGACUGGGGACGGGACUGAUUCCUGGUCGUGCAUCAAAACACACUGCUAGGCCUGAGAAGCCGGGAAAGAAAUGAGAGGCCCCGGGAAAGAAAAGGAAGAAAUUUUCCGACAGGAGAGCUGUGUCAGGAAUGUCCGCGCCGCCUGUCCAGGCCGGCUGCGUUUGCUCUGCUUGGGUGAUCUGCGAACCGGGGGGACACUUCUUUCAGGGAUCCUCGAGUGAAAAUAUGUGCGGCUUGGAAAGCGAAACCGUGGCAGGUGGCCAGAGUGGCGGUGAUAUCCCGUGUCCCGGUGGAGCAUGCGAGUGGGAUUCUCGGGACCGCUGGCGGGGCCCUCGAGGCUGCUGGGCGCUGUGUGUGGAAAGGAGAGCCUUGUAGAAAGGAAGCGGGGAGGAGACGUGGUCGUCCAGUCUGCUCGACAGGCCAUCCAGCUCUCAAGCUAACACUUGUGGAAUUGGUGAUUCCUACGAACAGGAAUACCCCCCCCCCCCCCACACACACACACAUAGCAAAUGGCCUAGACCUGGGUCUCCAGCUGCAGAACAGCUCGUCCUGGCCGCCUCCCUGCUCCGGAAGUGGGACUGGCAGCAUCGGCCUCCAUUUACAGGUACUCAGGAUUCUGGAAUUGGCAAGGAUGAAGCACUCUGCAUUUAUAAAUAGCCUCCUGCUUUUUGGGAUUUCAAUGACUGUUAUGAUUGUUCUCCCUCAUUUAUAAAUUAUUGCUGGGAAAGGCACAUUCUCAAAUA